GCCAGUGGCCAUAUCCCCCUGUAACUCACAACUGGUAACCCACUGAAGGUCAGCAGGAGUGAGCCUGGUCAGUACCCGGAUGGAAGCCCUCCUGGGAAAAACUAAGGCUACUGCUGGAA
rnacentral:rRNA from 1 species